GAGAUUGCAUUGGGUGUAAAGAGUGCGCAGGCGGUUUUGUAAGACAGAGGUGAAAUCCCCGGGCUCAACCUGGGAACUGCCUUUGUGACUGCAAGGCUGGAGUGCGGCAGAGGGGGAUGGAAUUCCGCGUGUAGCAGUGAAAUGCGUAGAUAUGCGGAGGAACACCGAUGGCGAAGGCAAUCCCCUGGGCCUGCACUGACGCUCAUGCACGAAAGCGUGGGGAGCAAACA
rnacentral:rRNA from 1 species